GAAAGUUGUAUGCGAAUGGUUCCACGAAAGGACGUAUAUAUUUCGAGCACAUUAGCUCCGGAGGUGGACCCGCCUACCACAUUGGCUCCAGAGACUGCUGCUCCUACUACACAUGCUGAGACUGGCAUGACUGAGGUAUUUUGUUAUACUUCGAUUGAAGUAGAUCUGAUAGUGUUGCCAAUAAACAGAUGCUUGUAGGAAAUGAUGACAACGCCUGUAGUGGAAGUUUCAACUGUAACAGGUAAGCUAUCAAAAGGGUAUCACUUGAGAUUAUUUGGUUUCCAGAAAAAGUAUGCCCAGGGAUUUCAGCAGAAUGUCCAGAUCUGAAACUGCAAUUCUACA
rnacentral:sRNA from 1 species